rnacentral:tRNA from 2 species
GGCCGAGUGAUGGAAUUGGUAGACAUGAGGGAUUCAAAAUCCCUUGCCUUCACGGGCGUGCCGGUUCGAGUCCGGCCUCGGCUACCA